rnacentral:rRNA from 1 species
UACGUAGGGGGCAAGCGUUGUCCGGAAUCAUUGGGCGUAAAGAGCGUGUAGGCGGCUUGGUAAGUCCGCUGUGAAAGUCCAGGGCUCAACCCUGGAAAGCCGGUGGAAACUGUCAAGCUUGAGUCCGGAAGAGGCGAGUGGAAUUCCUGGUGUAGCGGUGAAAUGCGCAGAUAUCAGGAGGAACACCGGUGGUGUAGACGGCUUCUGGACCACGACUGACACUGAGGCACGAAAGCGUGGGUAGCAAACAGG